AGAGAAUCACUUGAACCUGGGAGGCAGAGGUUGCAGUGAGCCAAGAUCACACCACUGUACUGCAGCCUGGGCAACAAGU
rnacentral:snRNA from 1 species